UACGAAGGUCCCAAGCGUUAUCCGGAUUUAUUGGGUUUAAAGGGUGCGUAGGCGGCCUAUUAAGUCAGUGGUGAAAGCUCCAUGCUUAACGUGGAAUUGCCAUUGAUACUGAUGGCUUGAGUAUAUUUGAAGUGGGCGGAAUGUGUCGUGUAGCGGUGAAAUGCUUAGAUAAUGACACAGAACACCGAUUGCGUAGGCAGCUCACUAAACUAUAACUGACGCUGAGGCACGAAAGCAAUGGGG
rnacentral:rRNA from 1 species